AGGACCACCAUUUGUUUCCUGAUCAGAACUCAAGAGAAGAAUCUAACAGUGGUUUGGGGGCAUUGCAAGACCAUGAUUACCUGGAAACAUCUCCUAUUAUGGAAGAGCACAACAUCAUGCUCGCAACAUUUGUGUCCUGGAUCAGUUUUUCUUGUUUCUCUGCUGUAUGAGGCAGGGGCUUCUUUCCGCAGAUUUAGCUCAUACAGCAAACGGACGGUUUGGACUACAGCCCUCUACUUCCCGAUUGAAUGACAUCCAAAGAAGAGUUUUUUUUACUAACUCUCACCCACAGGAAUACGUCAGUCGCAAGCAAAGCUCAAAUGGCUCUGCUAAGCUAAGUUGCUGUUAAAUCACAACACACUAAACAAACUACUACACAAUCAAAACUCGAUAUAUAUUUCUGAAGGAGGGA